CCACAUUGCAUUUGAGAAGCCUGGUUGCUCGCCUGCUGCCUUUGGACUAUGGCCCCCUGUUAAAAGACAUCUUUUUUUUACCUGCAGAAAAGCUUAAUUCGUGCUUUUCUGCCUGGGGUUCGGUAGAUUUGUUUGAAUGUGUUACACCCCAGAUAGGAAUCCCAUGGAGCCCAUUCGUAUGAAACUGACUGUAAAGACUUUGGCUCCAUGGCGAUUAAAC